AUGCGGACUGCACUGUUGCCGGGGGUUCUGACGUUGUGAGUGAACGAGAAGAAGGCAGUUCCAAUAUCAAGGGUGUACUACACAAAGUUUUGAGCUACAGUGCUUAAUGCACAAAUCAGGAGUCUACAAGACCGACUGAACAGAAUCGAUAAAUCAUUGAGAAGUAGCUCAACAUCUGAAACUCUUUUCAACUCCAGUGUGGUCUUCCUUCUCUGAUUGCAGUUCCUCAAGGGUGUAAAACAUCCAACUGUCUUGUUAGGUAUGAAGGAGAUCUCUCGGUUGAUGCAGUAACAGAUUGGUUUGCAAUAACGAUACUGAGGUUACCUCGCAUUCCUUAUUACACAAUGGACACAUUGAUUUGCAGAGAGCAAGAGCAAGAGCAGUUGGUAAAUCUCGUCAUCCCAUAUAUAAAUCAUACCAUCCAGAUAGAUGAUAAAGCACUCCAAGAAAAACAAGGUCAAAAUAACGACUCUUAUGGGAAAGCAAAUGUAAGGCUAGUUUCCGAUACCGCGGCCUCCCGCUCUAACUUCUAUCCAAAUACCGUAUGAAGCUGAAGAACAACAUAGAGUAUUUCUGUUGAGUAAAUUCUUAGUGAAUAUAUGAUUUCAACAAAACAAGGAGAUGAAUUUGCCAUUUUUUUUUGUACGUACAUAGAUUAGGUUUAUUUUAGUUGUAAUAUUCUUUCUGUUUUCAAAAGGAUUGGAAUAUGUAUUACAUUUAGUUAUGGAAUUGGUGGCAAUGACUUGUAGUAUAUGAUAGUGGCAUGGUGUUA